CAGCCGCCACGGUAAUACAGAGGGUGCAAGCGUUAAUCGGAAUUACUGGGCGUAAAGCGCGCGUAGGUGGUUUGUUAAGUUGAAUGUGAAAUCCCCGGGCUCAACCUGGGAACUGCAUCCAAAACUGGCAAGCUAGAGUAGGGCAGAGGGUGGUGGAAUUUCCUGUGUAGCGGUGAAAUGCGUAGAUAUAGGAAGGAACACCAGUGGCGAAGGCGACCACCUGGGCUCAUACUGACACUGAGGUGCGAAAGCGUGGGGAGCAAACAGGAUUAGAUACCCGUGUAGUCCCUGUCUCUUAUAC
rnacentral:rRNA from 1 species